rnacentral:rRNA from 1 species
UAGAUGAAUUUGGUGCUUGCACCAAAUGAAACUAGAUACAAGCGAGCGGCGGACGGGUGAGUAACACGUGGGUAACCUGCCCAAGAGACUGGGAUAACACCUGGAAACAGAUGCUAAUACCGGAUAACAACACUAGACGCAUGUCUAGAGUUUAAAAGAUGGCUCUGCUAUCACUCUUGGAUGGACCUGCGGUGCAUUAGCUAGUUGGUAAGGCAACGGCUUACCAAGGCAAUGAUGCAUAGCCGAGUUGAGAGACUGAUCGGCCACAUUGGGACUGAGACACGGCCCAAACUCCUACGGGAGGCAGCAGUAGGGAAUCUUCCACAAUGGACGCAAGUCUGAUGGAGCAACGCCGCGUGAGUGAAGAAGGGUUUCGGCUCGUAAAGCUCUGUUGGUAGUGAAGAAAGAUAGAGGUAGUAACUGGCCUUUAUUUGACGGUAAUUACUUAGAAAGUCACGGCUAACUACGUGCCAGCAGCCGCGGUAAUACGUAGGUGGCAAGCGUUGUCCGGAUUUAUUGGGCGUAAAGCGGGUGCAGGCGGUUCAAUAAGUCUGAUGUGAA